ensembl:snoRNA SNORD9 small nucleolar RNA, C/D box 9
CCCCUGUGAUGAACUGCUGUGCUAAUUCUGAUAUACCCGGUAGGGGGCUUUAAAACUGUUGGGUGUUAAAAUGAACACUACUUCUCAGAAAUCUAGAUCAAGAAA